ACAAGACUCUUGGUGAUUCCGGCCGUGAAAGCCUCCGACAAUAUAUAAUUUUGAUAUUCACAACCAGAUGCACCUCUCUGUUCCGCAUUGGCGCCUACUUCCGGGCACGGCAAUUCAAGAAGGAGACUGACAAGCUGGAACGGGUCCAGAGGAGGGCCACCAGAAUGGUAGCCCCCUCCCCAUGGCACACAAUGGAGGUACUGUGGUAUGCAUCAGAAUAUAAGGCCUGCUGGAGCAGACAGAGGGCCCAUCUAGUCCAACAUCCCAUCUAUCAUCAUGGCCAACCACUUUCUCUGGCGUUCUAACAGCAGAGCGGAGAGUCCAAGGCCUUCACAAGAACCCCGGAGGAGCCCUGCUGGGUCAGACCAGGGAGGGUCCAUCUAGUCCAGCCAACCAGAUCCUCUGGAGAUCCAGCAACAGGGCACAGAGGUCGAGGCCUCCCCCUGAAAAGAACCUCAGAAGAGAAACAUUAACAAGAAGGAGCCCUUUCCAAUGUUUGAACAAUUAAUUGCUGGAGCUAUAAGAAAUUUAUUAGGGAAAAUUUAUAAAUUGUUUUUGUAAUAUGAAACUGGAACAGGACAACUAAAAGUCUGUAUGGUAUGAUAGAUGUCAAAUUUUUGGAGAAAACGUAAGUAUGAAUUAAUGGUAGGAUCUUUUGAUUAAAGAAAGUUCCUUUUUAGAAUGUCAAAUGCUAAGAGAAAAUUGGUAUAAAAUGUAAAUGAAUAUUUCA